rnacentral:rRNA from 1 species
GGGCCCGCACAAGCGGUGGAGUAUGUGGUUUAAUUCGAUGCAACGCGAAGAACCUUACCAGGGUUUGACAUCCUGCGAAUCUCUUGGAAACGAGAGAGUGCCUUCGGGAACGCAGUGACAGGUGGUGCAUGGUUGUCGUCAGCUCGUGCCGUGAGGUGUCAGGUUAAGUCCCGCAACGAGCGCAACCCUUAUCCUUGUUUGCCAGCACGUAAUGGUGGGAACUCCAGGGAGACUGCCGGUGAUAAACCGGAGGAAGGUGGGGACGACGUCAAGUCAUCAUGGCCCUUACGAGUAGGGCUACACACGUGCUACAAUGGCGCAUACAGAGGGCAGCAAGCUAGCGAUAGUGAG